UACAGAGGUCCCAAGCGUUGUUCGGAUUCACUGGGCGUAAAGGGUGCGUAGGUGGUGAGAAAAGUUUGGUGUGAAAGCUUCGAGCCUAACUCGAAAAUGGCAUCAAAAACUUUCUUGCUAGAGGGUUGGAGGGGAGACUGGAAUUCUCGGUGUAGCGGUGAAAUGCGUAGAUAUCGAGAGGAACACCGGUGGCGAAGGCGAGUCUCUGGACAACUCCUGACACUGAGGCACGAAAGCUAGGGGAGCGAACAGG
rnacentral:rRNA from 1 species